GCGGGUUUCCGGAUCACUGGGCGUAAGAGUUGCGUAGGUGGCAAAGUAAGCAAUUAAUGAAAUGACGAGGCUCAACCUCGUGUCCAUUAUUUGAACUGCUUAGCUUGAGUAUGGGAGAGGUAGAUGGAAUUUCUAGUGUAGGAGUGAAAUCCGUAGAUAUUAGAAGGAACACCGAUGGCGUAGGCAGUCUACUGGCCCAUUACUGACACUAAGGCACGAAAGCGUGGGGAGCGAACGGGAUUAGAUACCCCGGUAGUCCACGCCGUAAACUAUGCUUGCUAGCUGUUAUCAGUAUCGACCCUGGUAGUAGCGAAGCUAACGCGUUAAGCAAGCCGCCUGAGUAGUACGAGCGCAAGCUUAAAACUCAAAGGAAUUGACGGGGACCCGCACAAGCGGUGGAGCGUGUUGUUUAAUUCGAUGGUAAGCGAAGAACCUUACCAGGGUUUGACAUCUUGGGAAUCUUUCCGAAAGGAAAGAGUGCCUUCGGGAAUCCAAUGACAGGUGUUGCAUGGCCGUCGUCAGCUCGUGUCGUGAGAUGUUUGGUUAAGUCCAUCAACGAGCGCAACCCUUAUAGUUAGUUGAAUUUCUCUAGCUAGACUGCCCCGGCAACGGGGAGGAGGGAGGGGAUGAUGUCAGGUCAGUAUUACCCUUACACCCUGGGCUACAAACACGCUACAAUGGCCGGUACAAAGGGCAGCCAACCCGCAAGGGGGAGCAAAUCCCAUCAAAGCCGGUCUCAGUUCGGAUAGCAGGCUGAAACUCGCCUGCUUGAAGCUGGAAUCGCUAGUAACGGUAGGUCAGCACACUACCGUGAAUACGUUCCCGGGUCUUGUACACACCGCCCGUCAAACCAUGAAAGUCGCCAAUACCCAAAGUCUAGUCUUUAGACUGGCCUAAGGUAGGGGAGAUGAUUGGGGUUAAGUCGUAACAAGGUAACC
rnacentral:rRNA from 1 species